ACGGAGGAUGCGAGCGUUAUCCGGAUUCAUUGGGCUUAAAGGGCGCGUAGGCGGACUAUUAAGUCAGUGGUGAAAUCCUGCAGCUCAACUGCAGAACAGCCAUUGAUACUGAUAGUCUUGAGUAUGUUUAAGGUAGGCGGAAUGUGUAAUGUAGCGGUGAAAUGCUUAGAUAUUACGCGGAACACCAAUUGCGAAGGCAGCUUACUGGGACGAUACUGACGCUGAUGCGCGAAAGCGAGGGCAUCGAACGG
rnacentral:rRNA from 1 species